GACGAACGCUGGCGGCGUGCCUAAUACAUGCAAGUAGAACGCUGAAGGAGGAGCUUGCUUCUCGGGAUGAGUUGCGAACGGGUGAGUAACGCGUAGGUAACCUGCCUGGUAGCGGGGGAUAACUAUUGGAAACGAUAGCUAAUACCGCAUAAUAGUAGAUGUUGCAUGACAUUUGCUUAAAAGGUGCAAUUGCAUCACUACCAGAUGGACCUGCGUUGUAUUAGCUAGUUGGUGGGGUAACGGCUCACCAAGGCGACGAUACAUAGCCGACCUGAGAGGGUGAUCGGCCACACUGGGAAUGAGACACGGCCCAGACUCCUACGGGAGGCAGCAGUAGGGAAUCUUCGGCAAUGGACGGAAGUCUGACCGAGCAACGCCGCGUGAGUGAAGAAGGUUUUCGGAUCGUAAAGCUCUGUUGUAAGAGAAGAACGAGUGUGAGAGUGGAAAGUUCACACUGUGACGGUAUCUUACCAGAAAGGGACGGCUAACUACGUG
rnacentral:rRNA from 1 species